GAAAUAAUUACAUAAAAUUAUUUUAAAAAUCAACAACUAAAUUUGAACCUUGUCGAAUUAAGCCGAAACUGAAAAAUCAGUAACUGUACCUAAUCGAAACCAAAAUAAUGAAAAACUUAACCGGAUUCAUACUGAAAUUUUAGUUCAGUUUCAAUUUAUAAGCAAAUCCCGAACUGAACUGAAACUAAACACCCAUUUCACUAAUGAGAACUGAUGAUAGGUAUAAUUAUAUGAUUUUCAAAAAUCUAAAAUUUAAUUAGUAAUUUUUUUAGUUUAGUAUAGAAUUAUAAAUUUUUUUAAAUUUUAAGUUUUUUUUUCUUUUUUAUUUUUCCUUUUAAUAUAUGUUAUUUUGCCAUUCAGUUUAAGCGCUUCCUUUUUUGUUGUAACUAAGACUUAGAAGGAGUAGUUAGUUAUAGAAGAAAUAAA
rnacentral:misc_RNA from 1 species